ACGCUCGACACCUACGAGGCAGCAGUGAGGAAUAUUGGUCAAUGGGCGCUAGCCUGAACCAGCCAAGUAGCGUGAAGGAUGAAGGCUCUAUGGGUCGUAAACUUCUUUUAUAUAAGAAUAAAGUGCAGUAUGUAUACUGUUUUGUAUGUAUUAUAUGAAUAAGGAUCGGCUAACUCCGUUCCAGCAGCCGCGGUAAUCUGAGCGGGCUGGCAAGGC
rnacentral:rRNA from 1 species